GAUGAACGCUGGCGGCGUGCCUAAUACAUGCAAGUCGAGCGAACAGACGAGGAGCUUGAUCCUCUGACGUAAAAAGCGGACAGGUGAGUAACACGUGGAUAACCUACCUAUAAGACUGGGAUAACUUCGGGAAACCGGAGCUAAUACCGGAUAAUAUAUUGAACCGCAUGGUUCAAUAGUGAAAGACGGUUUUGCUGUCACUUAUAGAUGGAUCCGCGCCGCAUUAGCUAGUUGGUAAGGUAACGGCCUACCAAGGCAACGAUGCGUAGCCGACCUGAGAGGGUGAUCGGCCACACUGGAACUGAGACACGGUCCAGACUCCUACGGGAGGCAGCAGUAGGGAAUCUUCCGCAAUGGGCGAAAGCCUGACGGAGCAACGCCGCGUGAGUGAUGAAGGUCUUCGGAUCGUAAAACUCUGUUAUUAGGGAAGAACAAAUGUGUAAGUAACUAUGCACGUCUUGACGGUACCUAAUCAGAAAGCCACGGCUAACUACGUG
rnacentral:rRNA from 1 species